AGUCCCGUAGGGUAGAGGUCAAUCCUGCAGGCCUUUGGCAGCCCGCGACGGCGGUUCGAAUCCGCCCGGGACUA
rnacentral:tRNA from 1 species